GUAGGGUGCGAGCGUUAAUCGGAAUUACUGGGCGUAAAGCGUGCGCAGGCGGUUUAGUAAGACAGGCGUGAAAUCCCCGGGCUCAACCUGGGAACUGCGCUUGUGACUGCUAAGCUAGAGUACGGCAGAGGGGGGUGGAAUUCCACGUGUAGCAGUGAAAUGCGUAGAGAUGUGGAGGAACACCAAUGGCGAAGGCAGCCCCCUGGGUCGAUACUGACGCUCAUGCACGAAAGCGUGGGUAGCAAACAGGAUUAGAUACCCUGGUAGUCCACGCCCUAAACGAUGUCAACUAGGUGUUGGGAGGGUAAAACCUUUUAGUACCGGAGCUAACGCGUGAAGUUGACCGCCUGGGGAGUACGGCCGCAAGGUUA
rnacentral:rRNA from 1 species